GCUGCCCGGACGCCGGAUGACAAGACCGCACGGCAGGAGCGGGGGACCCAGGUAGUUUGCCGUUCCCGUUGGUCUCGGGACGGCUAGGGGUGAAGUCGCAGCGACAUGCCUUGAUUUGGCGUGCCCCAUUGCGGCCGGGCAUCUCCAGCCCGAACCCGACAGCUUACCUCGCAGGCGUCGGAGAGGAAUU
rnacentral:sRNA from 2 species